rnacentral:rRNA from 1 species
CACGUAGGGCGCAAGCGUUGUCCGGAAUCACUGGGCGUAAAGCGCACGUAGGCGGAUUGUUAAGUCAGGGGUGAAAUCCUGGAGCUCAACUCCAGAACUGCCUUUGAUACUGGCGAUCUCGAGUCCGGGAGAGGUGAGUGGAACUGCGAGUGUAGAGGUGAAAUUCGUAGAUAUUCGCAAGAACACCAGUGGCGAAGGCGGACUCACUGGCCCGGUACUGACGCUGAGGUGCGAAAGCGUGGGGAGCAAACAGG